AAUCCCAGCUACUCAGGAGACUGAGGCAGGACCUUGAACCCAGGAGGCGGAGGUUGCAGUGAGCUGAGAUUGCACCACUGCACUCCAGCCUGGGUGACAGAGCAAGACUCCGUCUCAAAAAACAAACAAACAACAACAACAACAACAACAACCAAUUGGGUGCUUGAAGAUUGAAAAAGAAGUGAGCAAGGUGUUAGGAAGCCACAAGAGAUAGUGCAGUAUUUUGAAGCUAAUACCAUAUAUAAGUAAUUACCACACCUAGGCCCAAAGGGGCAAUGAGAGGAAAGGAAAUCUGGAAACAGAAAGAACUCCUUCCUCUCUCUGACAUAUUUUCACUUUUCAUCAGCCAAAUUUGACCAGCAGCCAAAGGACAAGGAUCAAAUUCAUGUAUAGAUCAGCCUCCUAGGGACACAGGAUGAAAGAAGGGGACAGUGGGCCGGGCACGGUGGCUCACGC
rnacentral:lncRNA from 10 species